UCGCACGAAGAAGGGUAGCAAUACCUGAGUACAGUGGCGCACGGGUGAGUAACACGUGAAUAAUCUACCUCCGAGUGGGGAAUAACUGAGAGAAAUCUUAGCUAAUACCGCAUAACACUUACGAGUCAAAGCAGCAAUGCGCUUGGAGAGGAGUUCGCGGCCGAUUAGUUAGUUGGCGGGGUAAUGGCCCACCAAGACGAUGAUCGGUAUCCGGCCUGAGAGGGCGCACGGACACACUGGAACUGAAACACGGUCCAGACUCCUACGGGAGGCAGCAGUGGGGAAUUUUGCGCAAUGGGGGAAACCCUGACGCAGCAACGCCGCGUGGAGGAUGAAAUAUCUUGGUAUGUAAACUCCUUUCGAUGGGGAAGAUUAUGACGGUACCCAUAGAAGAAGCCCCGGCUAACUUCGUGCCAGCAGCCGCGGUAAUACGAGGGGGGCAAGCGUUGUUCGGAUUUAUUGGGCGUAAAGGGUGCGUAGGCGGUUUGGCAAGUCUGAUGUGAAAUCUAUGGGCUCAACCCAUAGUCUGCAUCAGAAACUGCCGGGCUUGAGUAUGGGAGAGGUGAGUGGAAUUUCCGGUGUAGCGGUGAAAUGCGUAGAUAUCGGAAGGAACACCUGUGGCGAAAGCGGCUCACUGGACCAUAACUGACGCUGAUGCACGAAAGCUAGGGGAGCAAACAGGAUUAGAUACCCUGGUAGUCCUAGCCCUAAACAAUGAUGGUUUGAUGUGGCAG
rnacentral:rRNA from 1 species